GUGGGGAAUAUUGGACAAUGGGGGGAACCCUGAUCCAGCCAUGCCGCGUGUGUGAAGAAGGCCUUUUGGUUGUAAAGCACUUUAAGCGAGGAGGAGGCUACCGAGAUUAAUACUCUUGGAUAGUGGACGUUACUCGCAGAAUAAGCACCGGCUAACUCUGUGCCAGCAGCCGCGGUAAUACAGAGGGUGCAAGCGUUAAUCGGAUUUACUGGGCGUAAAGCGCGCGUAGGUGGCCAAUUAAGUCAAAUGUGAAAUCACCGAGCUUAACUUGGGAAUUGCAUUCGAUACUGGUUGGCUAGAGUAUGGGAGAGGAUGGUAGAAUUCCAGGUGUAGCGGUGAAAUGCGUAGAGAUCUGGAGGAAUACCGAUGGCGAAGGCAGCCAUCUGGCCUAAUACUGACACUGAGGUGCGAAAGCAUGGGGAGCAAACAGGAUUAGAUACCCCUGUAGUCC
rnacentral:rRNA from 1 species